GUUCACGGCGGCGAUUGUGGUGGUGGGGUUGAGAUUUCAGGCGCGUUGGGUCGUGCAUUUCGAGGGUAAAAAGCUUAAAAGAUACAGAACGACAGUAUGUAUGUUUGAAACUUGGAAUGGUUCAAGAACUACACAGUUUACAGAGUACUCAGUUUGAUCCGAUAUGUAGAAAUGUGGAAACUUUACAUUUCUUGGGAAAUGGGCAUCGCCAUGUUCUUCUCUAGGGCGAAGUAUUGGUGGAGAAGAG
rnacentral:misc_RNA from 1 species